UUAAAAGAGGGACUCUUAAAAAGAACAACAACCCUGUCAAGUGGGUUGAACUGAGAAUGACUGGCCCAAAGUCACCGAGCUGACUUUCAUGUCUCAGAUGGGGCUAG